GAACGCACCUUGCGCUCUCUGGUAUUCCGGAGAGCAUGCCUGUUUGAGUGUCAUGAACUCUUCAACCCACCAGUUUCUUGUUAAACUGUGUUGGUGUUUGGUUUCUGAACGUUGCUGGUUCCUUGUGAACGUUAGCUCGUUUAAAAUCUAUUAGCAUCUCAAUUUCGAAACUUGGAUUGACUCAGAGUAAUAGACUAUUCGCUGAGGACACCUUUCAUUGGGUGGCCGAGUUAGAUGACGACUGAUGCUCCUAACCUUAGUCACUAUUCUAAGAUUAGACCUCAGAUCAGGAAGGAUUACCCGCUGAACUUAAG
rnacentral:misc_RNA from 1 species